UUUUUGCAAAGAAGCUACCUUUGACUUGAUAGAUUUGACCUUUUUGAACCUAAUUAUAAUCUUUUUACAUGGUCACCUUUUAACCUCUUAUACUGAUAGCUCCUUCAAUCUAAAUGGCAACUCUCCAUCAUCUCUCAGGCACAUUUGAGCUCUUUUGCUGCCCGAGACAUAUUCAGUAGCCAAAUGACCAAGUGCGUUUGAACCAUUGCAGUAUGGGCACUAUAUUCUGCACACAUUUCUUUCUAUAUGUAGAUAAACCUAUUUAAAUUUAACUUUCAUGUGGAUUUCAUUAUUUUAUUUCAGACUGGAUGUGCUGAAGCACGAGGUCUGAAGAACAAUACAGUGUAACUGUUGAAAUACUGAUUUUACAAGCAAAUCAUAUUCUUAGACUUGAAUUUGUAAAUGCAACUGUAGAUGUCACAAAUUCAAUGGACUAAAUAAAGCAAUAGUUUGGAAUGCAUUUGAUGAGAAGUAUUAAGGAGCAAAAAGUGUAAAUAGGCUAACUCAAGUAAGUUUCUCAAAAUUGUAGGCUAACAUUAACUCUUUUAAAAUACACUAAAAAAUAUAAGAACAAAAUGCAAAAUGAUUAGCAGCAACAACUGCCAGAUAAAAACUGUAAAAUGAAGAUGAAAUAUCCUCAUUCAAAUAAAGCAUAAAAACAACAAAUUUACAGGCGUGUUUUGUAGAGGAACACUGUUAUUUUAUUGAUUUUUCCUGAAGUGUUAAUACCAUAGACUGCAUGUACAGUCUAUGGUUAAUAUGUACUCAAGAUUGUUACACAGUUUUACUAUCAAGGGCCAAUAACUUAUAAAGCACCAUUGAUUCCAAAUUAUUUGUUUAAUUUAUUCAGGAGAAAAUGUACAAUAUCGAUCAGUUAUUUACAAGUAAUUCUGUAGAGCCCUCUGAGAGAAAAUAAAAAGCUAAAACUGUCUUCUUUGGGUUACAUGCCAGCUUGUGGGCUAGAAUAUAAUGUGGAGAGCAGCUCCAGAGUGUACAAAAAUGAGAGUUUUACUUCAAUAAAUAAAUAUUGCAAGUCGAUAUGCCUGCACCGUGGCUUGGUGGUUUGCACUUUUACCCUGCAGCUAGAAGAUCCCUGGUUUGCAUCCUGGCCUUCCUGGGAUCUUUCUGCAUGUUCUCCCUGUGCAUAUGUGGGUUUUCUCCAGGUACUCCAGAUUCCUCCCACAGUCCAAAAAUAUGCUGAGGUUCAUUGAUAAUUCUAAAUUGUCCGUAGGUGUGAAUGUGAGUGUGAUUGUUUGUCUCUCUGUGUAGCCCUGUGAUAGACUGGUGACCCAUCCAGGGUGUCCCCUGCCUUUGCUCUAAGUCAGCUGGGAUAGACUCCAGCACCCCCGGGACCCUAAUGAGGAUUAAGCGGUGUAUAGAUAAUGAAUGGAUGGAUGUAAGUUGAUAUUUAUGGUACAAAGUGUGAAAGCGUAAGCAGCCAUUAGAGUAUAGUGAGCUGCAGCAGCAAGAGUGGGGUGACAGCACAACAUUCCCCAGGCUGCCACCACAGUAGGUGUGGAUAAUUAAGACAAAUAAGCCCAUGUACCACCCAGAAACUGUUGCACAUGCACAGGGCUGACAGAUUCCACCCUGAGGGCAGCAUAUCUUUCUACUCUAUAAACAAUUCAAAAAAACUGAUACAUUAUGUUGGAUAUAAGCAAAAAUGUUUGAUUCAUUUGUAUCCAGAAUGAGAGCGUUCGAGUGAGAUCAUUCACACAUAUAAAACUAAGAAAAUAAAAUAUAUGAGGAAAAAUGUUAAAUUUACAGUAUAGCCAUGAACCUUCAUAUACUGAGGUACAUAUUUCAUUACUUUUUAUUACUUUAUUUGGUUCAGUUUUAUUUAUAUAGCACCAAUUCACAGCAUACGUCAGCUAAAGGCACGUCACAUAGUAAAGGUGAAGACCUUAUACAAGAUGCCGAACAAAUACAAAAACUUUUUUCUGUUCUAAAAUGCCUGUACCAUUUUUAAAGAUUGUCUAUAUCUUUAUUCAUGUAAUUUGUAUUUUAUUUUAUUUUCUAUUCUUUUUUUUUGUCUUUUUGCUGGUUUACUCUGUCAAGUUUAAACCAUUCUAUAACACUACAGUGCACUUAUUGCAGUCAUUUCACUACUCUGCUGUAUUUUUUAUGUUUUCUUUUAUAUGUUUUUUUAUUAUUGUUUUUUACCAUUGCUUGUAAAGAAUUUUUAAUAAAAUCUGUGUCAGAUAAGGUAAUGUAUAAAUAAACUUGCUCACGUACUAAAGCAGACAGAGAACAGGACAGCAGAUAGAAAACAAAAACUGCAUAAAUGAACAUUAAACGAUAGUCGGUGAUGUCAGCAACUGAAGCUCUUUUGUCAUUUUAAGCAAAUUUGUAUGUAAUUGAAGAAUGUAAAAAUAUUCUACAUAAAUAAUAUAGCAUUUUAUUAUUAUAAAAAAUAGGCUUUGGGAUUAUUGCCAAGAAAUAUGUUGUGUUUCUUUGUUAUUAUUCUUUUGAAUAAGUAGACCGAAUGUACUGUUUUGUGUUUUUUGUUGGCAGUUUAGGUGCAGGUGUUUUGUGUGUCCUCUAUUAUGUGUGACUGGUCUGAUCAGCCAGUAUGCACUACCAGUCAAACGUUUGGACACACCUUUUCAUUCAAUGAUUUUUAUUAAUUUGUGUUAUUUUCUACGUUGUAGAUUAAUACUGAAGAUUAACACUUUCUUUUGUUUACAACAUAAUUCCAUAUUUAUUCUUUUAUAGUUUUGAUGUCUUUAGUAUGACUCUACAAUGUACAAAAUAAUAAUUAAAAAAAAACAUUGAAUGAGAAGAUGGUCCGUGUACGGAUCUGGUAAUUGGAUUUUCCGUUCUGAAACGGGUAUUGAAAAACAAAAAAGGAGUGGUUAUUUGAUUUUCGUUUUAAAAUACAAAAAUUAAAAUUGAAAUACAAGGCGUUUUCCUUUUCAUGAUCAAAAAGGGAUAUACGAUAUAUUUUUAAAUGCUUUGAUUUUCGUUUUAUAUUUAGGAUAACAAGAAAGUAAAAUCAGUAAGAGACAGAAACGAAAAAAGGUCAGUUUUUGUCAUUUUCUGAGACCGGAAAUGGUCAUCAGCAAGUGUGGAGCCAAACAGAGUACGGUGCAUAGACUGUACAUACAUUUUUUUCGUUAGUUUUCAUGGUCAAAACGAGAGAUCAGGUGGCCGAUCUUAAAAUAAAUUAAUAUUGAUUUUUUUAUAGAGCGUUAAAGUUUUGCGAAGCCAGGGGGCGGGACUACUUGAUUGACAGUCCGGUCUGGAAUGAUUGACAGGUCCUAUGGAGGAGGCAGCAGAGACUCUGCUCUUCCUCGUUUGGGUUAAUUCUGAUAUAAUAACUGUUGGUUUAUUUAUCGGUGGAGCAGCACAACAUUUUCCACAAACAGUUUUCCUGUCUGUUGGCUUGUUUCAACCAAUUUUCUGCCUUCGGCUGAUUCUACCAGCAGACACUGAAAGGACUCUAAUAGUUCGAGUGAAAGUAGCAGUUCCUCCUUAAGGUCAGAGAUUGCAGCAUCUGAGGGCCUCUUCAAAAGAAGAUGUAGUUGAUGAAGGCGUUCUGGAGCAGGACCAGAAAGACCACGACCAAGCAGCCUUGAGAUCUUAGGCAGCGUCUCCCUCAGGUCCCUCUCUACCUCCCUACACAUCCACCAACCACUGGAACACAUCUCCAAAGUUCUGCCGGGCCAGCUCAGCUUCCCCUCAGAAGAAGUUCCGCCACCUGCCAGAUGAAGGAGCCUGUUGAGAGGCAGCUGGCAUCGUGAUUGGACUGUACUUUGGUCUGUUCCAAUCCAGCUUCAGCUCCAGAGACGGCAGGCAGGACGAGUCAACGGAGGCCGGGUGGACGAAGGCAUGCAGCUGAGUACAAUCCAGAAAACAACAGAGGAGGAGUGCAGUGGCCCAGGGCCACAACACACAGAGUAGCAUCGUAUGUCUCUUAGAAAACAUCAUAGUAGAGCCUUUGGUAUGAAAAAACGCCAUCAUAUACAUCGUAUAUUGUACAAAUAACAAGUCAAAGGAAAGAGACAUACAUUGUAGAAUUGUAGUAAUUGUGGGCUGACUGAUUUACUGAUUAUCAGUAUUUUAUUUUUUUACUGAUUUACGGUAAUAAAUCCAUUUAAAAAUGGCGCUA